GGAUAACGCCWUCGUGUUAUUGUAUAGGAGUUAUUGAAAAAUAAAAUAAAGUAGCAAUAAGGACCUCUUAUUGCUACUUUAUUUUAUUAUUUUAUUUAUUUUUUCCUUUUAGUUCGUUUAGUAUUCUACUCUUAUUUAAUUUAAUAAUUUAAUAUAAUUAUUUAAUUUAAUAAUUUAAUAUAAUUUUAAUUAUAUUAAUAAUAAUAUUAGUUUUAUUUAAUAUUUAAUUUCAAAUUUUUCUUUUUUUACAUUUAUACUACUAAUAUUUAUGCUAUAUACUACUAACAUUUAUUAUACUACUAGUUGUACCUAAAUAGAGAAUUCUCUAUUUUUCAAAUUUUAUUUUAAAAGAAAGGGAAAUGUUCGAAAUAGAAUUUUAUGGAUGAAAUAUGAAAACAUUUAAAAUUAGAGCAGGGGGCGGAUGUAGCCAAGUGGAUCAAGGCAGUGGAUUGUGAAUCCACCA
rnacentral:misc_RNA from 1 species